rnacentral:rRNA from 1 species
AUUGAACGCUGGCGGCAUGCCUUACACAUGCAAGUCGAACGGUAACGGGCCUUCGGGUGCCGACGAGUGGCGAACGGGUGAGUAAUGCAUCGGAACGUACCUUUCAGUGGGGGAUAACGUAGCGAAAGUUACGCUAAUACCGCAUAUUCUGUGAGCAGGAAAGCAGGGGAUCGCAAGACCUUGCGCUGAUUGAGCGGCCAAUGUCAGAUUAGCUAGUUGGUGAGGUAAAGGCUCACCAAGGCGACGAUCUGUAGCGGGUCUGAGAGGAUGAUCCGCCACACUGGAACUGAGACACGGUCCAGACUCCUACGGGAGGCAGCAGUGGGGAAUUUUGGACAAUGGGGGCAACCCUGAUCCAGCCAUGCCGCGUGAGUGAAGAAGGCC